AGAGCGAACGCUGGCGGCAGGCUUAACACAUGCAAGUCGAGCGGGCGUAGCAAUACGUCAGCGGCAGACGGGUGAGUAACACGUGGGAACGUACCCUUUGGUUCGGAACAACCCAGGGAAACUUGGGCUAAUACCGAAUAAGCCCUUACGGGGAAAGAUUUAUCGCCAAAGGAUCGGCCCGCGUCUGAUUAGCUAGUUGGUGAGGUAACGGCUCACCAAGGCAACGAUCAGUAGCUGGUCUGAGAGGAUGAUCAGCCUCACUGGGACUGAGACACGGCCCAGACUCCUACGGGAGGCAGCAGUGGGGAAUAUUGGACAAUGGGCGCAAGCCUGAUCCAGCCAUGCCGCGUGGGUGAUGAAGGCCCUAGGGUUGUAAAGCCCUUUCGGCGGGGAAGAUAAUGACGGUACCCGCAGAAGAAGCCCCGGCUAACUUCGCGCCAGCAGCCGC
rnacentral:rRNA from 1 species